UAAGACGAGGGAUCCAAGCGUUGUUCGGAAUUAUUGGGCGUAAAGCGGGUGUAGGUGGCUAUGUAAGUCAGGUGUGAAAGCCCAGGGCUCAACCCUGGAAGUGCAUUUGAUACUGCGUAGCUUGAGUGUAGGAGAGGAUAGUAGAAUUCCUGGUGUAGUGGUGAAAUACGUAGAUAUCAGGAGGAAUACCGGAGGCGAAGGCGGCUAUCUGGCCUAACACUGACACUCAGACCCGAAAGCGUGGGGAUCAAACAGG
rnacentral:rRNA from 1 species